CACAGUGCGCCAGUGCACCAGUAAGCUCGGUUCCUACCCCAGGUUGCGGGAGGAGACGGAGCGGAUCGUCACCACCCACAUCCGGGAGCGCGAGGGCAAAACCAAGGACCAGAUCCUGCUGCUGAUCGACAUCGAGCUCUCCUACAUCAACACCAACCACGAGGAUUUCAUCGGAUUUGCCAAGUGAGUCCUUUUCCAAGGGAGGGGGGGGAUGAAUCCCAAACUCUCCGUCGGCGAGGCUCGUGGUCCCACCCCCGGCCUGGGGGGGGUUGUGUUAUCCUGGGAUUGUGUUAUCCUGGGGUUGUGUUAUCCUGGGAUUGUGUUAUCCCUCUGGGAUCAACCAUGGGAAGGCCGGAGCCUCCCACGUCCCGUCGUCGCCCACCAAAUCCACACCUUUGGCACCUUUGGCACCUUUGGCACCCGAUUCCCUCAGCU